GACCACCCAUCACUGUGCCACACUGACCACUAAGCACUGUGCCAUGCUGACCCUUUGCCAGUGCCAGUGUCACACUGACCCCCUGCCAACCCUGGGUGCCACAAUGACCACUAAGCACUGUGCCACACUGACGCCCUACCAACCCUGGGGUGCCACACUGACCCUCAAACAGCCCCAGGGUGCCACACUGACCACUCAGCACUCUGCCAUGCUGACCCUCUGCCAGCACCAGGGUGCCACACUGACCACUCAGCACUGUGCCAUGCUGACCACUCAGCACUGUGCCACACUGACCACUCAGCAUUGUGCCACACUGACCACUCAUCACUGUGCCACAAUGACCAC
rnacentral:lncRNA from 1 species